rnacentral:ncRNA from 1 species
UAUGUAUACAGGUUGAGAAAACACUGUCAAAUCAAACAGUUAAGAGAUUGAUUAAUUAAGCGUAUGUGAAGUACGUCUCCCUGUUUGGAAAAGGUCUUGUUCAAAGAACAAGAUCUUUUUUUAUUU